rnacentral:ncRNA from 1 species
CCUGCUGUACGACCAGCAGUUGCCUAUCCGGACAUGCGUGACUGGUAACGGUCGGGUGUGAAGCUCUGGAGACAACGUGCCUUUCGAUUGACGGUUCACCUCGGCGACGAGGAAGGAAUCGACUCUGCCAGCCGCCGUGCGGUGUGAGGU